AGAAAGAAUCAGAAAGUUUUCCAGAAACCCUAGUUUGAAAAUCAAAUGAUUUUAAAAGAAAAAAUUGGGGAAAACCCUUGAAAUAUCGAAUAUAACAUAAAUAUAGCAUAGAUCUAAGAGAAAACAAACAGCAAAACCUCAAAUAACUUUAGGUUUCUCUGAAACCCUAGAAAUGAGAAGGCUUGGAAAGGGUCUGAUCUCAAACAGAUCUAAGCCAUAACUAGGCUCUUAAAGCUCGAACACGUCGGAACACGGUCGGAGAGGCCAUAGAACCACAGAUCUGUGGAGGAUAUGCUCAAACACCAUCGAGGUCUGACCUCGAAAUCUGGAAAACCCAUGGCUUAGGAGUAAAGGGAGGUGAGCACAAGUCAUCCAUGGCCUGAAAAGCCAUGAACUCCGGCGAAAUAAUGGUCGGAGAAGACGGGGGGAGGGGGG
rnacentral:lncRNA from 1 species